UCCUUCUUAGCUCAGUUGGUAGAGCGCGUCACUAGUAUCCGCUUCGGCGAUGACGAGGUCAGUCGUUCAAGUCGGCUAGAAGGAA